GCUGGGUGAAGGAAGGUGCAGAGGCAGUUCCCAGAAGCCCAGGAUGGACAGCAACCAGGUCCUCCCAGCCAUCAACAGCCACAGAGCCCUGCAAAUAUGGAUUACUGAGAACCUAAAGAUGCUGCCACUGCCUGAAAAGGCUCAUGGGAAUUUCUUCGAGGAAUGCUGCUAUGUUGUCCUCCACAGUCCAAAGGCUACCCAGGGAGGAUCCCGUGACCUGCACUGCUGGAUUGGAAAGGAGGCCAGCACAGAGGCCCAGGAGGCUGCAGUCUCCUUUAUGCACCGUCUGCAGCAGGACCUAGGAGACCAGACGGUGCUGCACCGAGAGUCACAGGGCCACGAGUCCGACUGCUUCCACAGCUAUUUCCGCCCGGGAGUCAUCUACAGGAAGGGAGGCAGAGCUUCUGCUCUCAAGCUCGGGGAGAGCAA
rnacentral:lncRNA from 1 species